rnacentral:rRNA from 1 species
GACGAACGCUGGCGGCGCGCCUAACACAUGCAAGUCGAACGAGCGAGAGAGAGCUUGCUUUCUCGAGCGAGUGGCGAACGGGUGAGUAACGCGUGAGGAACCUGCCUCAAAGAGGGGGACAACAGUUGGAAACGACUGCUAAUACCGCAUAAGCCCACGGUGCCGCAUGGCACAGAGGGAAAAGGAGCAAUCCGCUUUGAGAUGGCCUCGCGUCCGAUUAGCUAGUUGGUGAGGUAACGGCCCACCAAGGCAACGAUCGGUAGCCGGACUGAGAGGUUGAACGGCCACAUUGGGACUGAGACACGGUCCAGACACCUACGGGUGGCAGCAGUCGAGAAUCAUUCACAAUGGGGGAAACCCUGAUGGUGCGACGCCGCGUGGGGGAAUGAAGGUCUUCGGAUUGUAAACCCCUGUCAUGUGGGAGCAAA